AUUGAACGCUAGCGGGAUGCUUCACACAUGCAAGUCGAACGAGUGGCGGACGGGUGAGUAAUAUAUGGGAACGUGCCCAGUAGCGGGGGAUAACUACUCGAAAAGGUGGCUAAUACCGCAUACUAUUGGAGAGGCACAUAUAGGAGUAGCUAGUGGGUGGGGUAAAGGCUCACCAAGGCGACGAUCCCUAGCUGUUGUGAGAGGACGAACUGCCACACUGGGACUGAGACACGGCCCAGACUCCCACGGGAGGAAGCAGUGGGGAAUUUUGGACAAUGGGGGAAACCCUGAUCCAGCCAUCCCGCGUGUAUGAGAAGGCCUUCGGGUUGUAAAGUACUUUUGGCCGAGAGGCGGUAUCUGCAGAAUAAGCACCGGCUAACUACGUGCCAGCAGCCGCGGUAAUAC
rnacentral:rRNA from 1 species